GCUGAGACUACAGUCACAUCCUGAAACAGCACUUGAUCUGGUAUGCUAGCAUUCUUAGAGAGAAACUGCUGGUCUUGAUUCACUCAUGGGGGCAGCCAGUGCCCCAUUAGUGCCUUGAUUAGGAACACGU